UUACCCGGGAAGAUAAUGACCGUACCGGGUAGAAUAAGCCCCGGCUAACUCCGUGCCAGCAGCCGCGGUAAUACGGAGGGGGCUAGCGUUGUUCGGAAUCACUGGGCGUAAAGCGUGCGUAGGCGGCCAUUCAAGUCAGAGGUGAAAGCCCAGGGCUCAACCCUGGAACUGCCUUUGAAACUAGAUGGCUGGAACACGGGAGAGGUGAGUGGAAUUCCGAGUGUAGAGGUGAAAUUCGUAGAUAUUCGGAAGAACACCAGUGGCGAAGGCGGCUCACUGGACCGUUGUUGACGCUGAGGCACGAAAGCGUGGGGAGCAAACAGGAUUAGAUACCCUGGUAGUCCACGCCGUAAACGAUGAUAACUAGCUGUUGGGGCUCUUGGAGCUNCCAGUGGCGCAGCU
rnacentral:rRNA from 1 species